CUGGACAAACAAUGGAAGAAAAAGAGCUCAGAGAGGAAAAGGCCCAGAGAUCUGCUCCUGGGACCGGCCCGGUGUCAGUGAGAAGUGAUCACUCCAAUUAUCGAUUGAUUGAUUUUAAAGGAAAUCAUCGUUCACAGAUCCUCCAGAAACAUCCUCCAUCUGAACCUGGUCCCAGCUGUGAGUCCCUCAGUGACCGGUCUAUGGGCAAACCAAUGGCAAGGCAAGGCAAGGCAAGGCAAGUUUAUUUAUAUGGCACAUUUCAUGUACAUGUACAACUCA
rnacentral:lncRNA from 1 species